GAUGAAGAACGCAGCGAAAUGCGAUAAGUAAUGUGAAUUGCAGAAUUCAGUGAAUCAUCGAAUCUUUGAACGCACAUUGCGCCCGCCAGUAUUCUGGCGGGCAUGCCUGUUCGAGCGUCAUUUCAACCCUCAAGACCCCUUCGGGGGACUUGGUGUUGGGGACCGGCACAGGGGCCUGCCUGCUUGUCUUGCAGCGCCCUCGCCGCCCCCGAAAUGAAUUGGCGGCCUCGUCGCGGCCUCCCCUGCGUAGUACCACAAACCUCGCAACGGGAACGUGACGGCGGCCACUGCCGUAAAACAACCCAAUUUUAUUAGAGUUGACCUCGAAUCAGGUAGGAAUACCCGCUGAACUUAAGCAUAUCAAUAAGCGGAGGA
rnacentral:misc_RNA from 1 species